rnacentral:lncRNA from 13 species
CAUCUAGGUGCUUAGUUCUACCCGAACCCUACUUACUUUCUCCAUCUUUCUCUUUCUCUUUUGUAGAAACAAAAGCUGCUAAUUCUUUGAACUGAAAAAGUUAUUUAUUUUUCUAUUUGUGUCCACCAAAUGCUCCCAUGAAGAGAUCAGAUUUUUUUCUAUGGAAAUGUUUUAUACACCAACAUUUAAAUGGGAAAAACUGAGCUUCAGCCUCAAAUCAGCAGAUGUCUACUGGACAGCUCCACUUUGAUGCCCAGUUCCACCUUAAACUUUUGUCUAAACUUGGAUUUCUCCCAGUGCCUCUUAGACUUCUUUAUUUCAGUUUGUGGCAUCAUUCUUCUUCUCACUGAAGUAUAAAGACCACAAUAAGGACUUCAGAAGACGAAUUCUGCAAGUUCAGCAUGACCAAGGAGGGAAGAGAGAAUGUCUCACUCUGUCACCCAGGCUGGAGUUCAGUGGUGCGAUGUUGGCUUACUGCAACCUCUGCCUCCCGGGUUUAAGAGAUUCUCCUGCUUCAGCCUCCUGAGUAGCUGGAUUGCAGGUGCGUACCACCAUGCCUGGCUAAUUUUUGUAUUUUUAGUAGAGGUGGGGUUUUACCACGUUGGCCAGGUUGAUCUCAAACUCCUGACCUUAGGUGAUCUGCCCAUCUCGGCCUCCCAAAGUGCUGGAAUUGCAGGUGUGAGCCACCAUGCUUGGCCCUUGGCCUUCUUCUUUUUUUUUUUUUUUAACCUCCAAAUGGAUAUUCUUUAGAAAUAAAUUCAGCUCAUUUCAGGGUGCA